rnacentral:lncRNA from 13 species
CUGGAAUUUAGAAUUUGAUGAAACAUUGUAUAGGCAAGCAGGGGGUUCUGGGAUAUGCAUCACAGAGCCUGAAAGAACACCAAGAUCACAGAACUUGUUAGCCUCUUAGAAACAUUUUAGAUAAUAAAACACAUAAUAUCACUAUCAUACAAGAUGUAAACAAGAAAAUGGUGGUAAAGUAUCCAAGGGUCCUCCCUCCUAGCAGGAUCCUCCAUCCCAAUCUUGGGAGAGUGAGAGACCACGAGCCUGGAAGAACAGCCCAGUGGGGAGUGAGUCGAGCCUCCUCUGGGUCCCAGAACCCAGCAACAAGUACUCUCAGGAUCUGCUGAUGAAAAAGUUCAGUUUCACAUAAUUUGCCGAAUUAUGCAUUAACUCAGCCUGUCCAUACAUGGGCUCCCAGAACAUGAUUCCAUAAUAAUUCUCUG